GUUCAGAGCCUGGAAAUCUUAAUUCUAAACCAAAAAAAAUCUUUCUUUAUUAUUCGUUACCUUUUAUGCCUUUUACUUGAAUUUAUUUAUUUAUUUACAAUAUUUUUACCCUGCCUUUCUCCACAGUAGAUCCGAGGCGGCUUACAACAUACAAUGCAAAAGUUUAAAACAUAUUUAAAAUCACAAAUACUAUAUAUAUACUGGGAGCCCCCGGUGGUGCAGAGGAUUAAACGGCUGAGCUGUUGAACUUUCAGUUAUGCCGGCCACAUGACCUUGGAGGCGUCUACAGUCAACGCCAGCUUUACGGCUUAGAAAUAGAGAUGAGCAUCAACCCUCAGAUUGGGACACAACUAGACCCAAUACCAGGUUGAGAAUACACUCAGUUUGGCUGGACAAAAAGAAGCUGCUGGCUCAUACUCCAUUUCCUCUUCUUCAUUCAGAUUUCCAGAGUUUUAGUGCAAGCUAUAAUUUCUCAAUUGUAAUUUAUGAUUUCAACAAAAUGUACCAGGGUUGGAAACCAUCAAUUCCCCAGUUCAGAUGUAAUGUCAAACUAUGAUUUGCAACAAAAUUAGAAGUCAAGGAAAAUGCAAGAAAAGAAGCCAUACUAAUGGCUCAUUCAUGCAACAUCGAAGCUUGGUUUAGAAUUGUACCUGAACAAACCCAUAAGAUACUCCAAGAAACAGUUCCACCACUGAAAUAUGCACUAAUUUUAAAGAUAUAUUCACACUGGAAUCUGAAGAAUAGACACAUACUAUUUUCCUGGUAUGAGUAUUUUCUCAAAAAGAAAUGUUAAAGACUCCAAAUUUCUAUUUACUUUGUCAACAGACCUGAGAGAUAGAAAUUACAUAACACAAUCUAAUUGGCAGAUUGAUCUCGAACACCACAAGAUCCUGCAUUAGAUUAGGAAGUAACGCAGGCACCACAUAGUUUCUUGUUACUCUUGCGCUGUUCCAAUCCAAUGUGAAAUUUCAUCCGGAUACAGAAUUAUCCAUAUCAUACCUUUCAUUUAGACUUUCAGCCAAUAUUUAGAAUUGUCAGUUAUUCAAAUAAAAGGGGAAAAAAUCACAUUUGCCACUACUAGAACAGCAGUGAUAAUUCCUAUGUGGAGACACUGAACACUGUUCCGGGAAAUAAAGUUGGUUCUGUAUUAAACUGGAUACUGUUGGGAGUCUCCUUUGAUUACACUAUUACACUCUUUGGUCACACAAAGGAUCCAGCUUUACCUCCUGUACAAGAACAAGCCCAUAUUUCAGAGCUAAUUCUUCUGCUCUGCUUUCUUCCAAAAGUAAUUCAUGAUAUUCUGUGAAAAUACUUCUCAAGAGUUACAACUGAAGUUUCUUAGCUUGCCACCCCACCAUUUACCAAUGUCUGAUGUGCUCUUGCUUCAUCUCAACAAUGUAUUUACAUUUCAGGCCUUCUAUUUUCUUCCACUCACUUUUGGGAAUCAUUCAUUUCUGGGAAAAUAGCUGUUACCAGUCCUCAGCUAUUACAUUUUCUUUCUAGUAUUUUCAAUAUAUGUGCAUUGUUUUCUAAAUGUGCACACAUUAUCACAGCUGUAUUAGGUUUGUAUGUUGACUGCCGUGUACUUGCUUUGAAUUUUGUAUACCAUGCUGUGUUCCCCUUCUCUGUAUACAUCAUGCUGUGUUUCAGAUUAACUAGAUAAAAUAGAAGGUUUUGCAUGUAUCUCACCUUUCCUUUCCUUGGCAAACUAUUUAAUGAAACUUUUCAGCAAGUUUCCAUUAUGUUACACCUUUGCAGCAUCAGAACACAAUAAGCACAGGCGGCCUAUUAUUAGAGACAAAGGGCAUAAGGAAGAAAUUGAACUGCACCAUCAUUACAUCAACUAUAAUGCAACAGAAGGAUCUGAAGUGAAGUUGUUCUCUCAACAUGGUGUUUUAUAUUGCAAACUCAGGUUCUAAACCAGUCUUCAAACCCAGGAAAAUUUUGAUAUUCAAAAUCUGAAUGGUACAGCAGCCCAGCCUCUCAAUUCAUAUAGACAUGAUUGUAUAGAACAGGGCAGGAAACACACACACACUUCCUAUUGUUAACAAAGUUUAGGUGACUUAGGUGAAAAAAAGCACAAGAUUAAUCUCACUGAGAGCUUAACUAAUGAAACACUGCUGUUAUCUGAAUAAAUAUUUGAAAGACUAGAUGUUGCUUUUCAGUUCUACACAGCUGCCAAAAGAGACCCGUUAUUUAGAGUUCAAUGCAUUCCUUAGUCCCAUAAAACUGUUAAAGAGCAGGAAAGUCAGAUUUUGAAGUUUUAAAAUGUACCCUUAAAAGUGACAGCUAUGUAAGCUUUCAUUCUUUGAUAAACGUUUUCCAUGAAGUCCAAACUCAAUUAAGGAUGUUUUCAUUUUAAGUUUUUAUUAUUUAAAUACACCAUACUAGAGCAAAUGUCUCUGAAAGUAUCACAAAUAAAA